rnacentral:rRNA from 1 species
AAUCAACGCUGGCGGCGUGCCUAACACAUGCAAGUCGAACGCGAAAAGGGGCAACCCUGAGUAGAGUGGCGUCCGGGUGAGUAACACGUGGAUAAUCUGCCUGCGGGCGGGGAAUAACUUUCCGAAAGGGGAGCUAAUACCGCAUAACACCGUAAUAGGGCAUCCUGAUACGGUCAAAGAGGGGGAUCGCAAGACCUCUCGCCUGCAGAGGAGUCCGCGGCCGAUUAGCUAGNGGCGAGGUAACGGCUCACCAAGGCAGCGAUCGGUAGCCGGCCUGAGAGGGCGAACGGCCACACUGGCNCUGAAUACGGGCCAGACUCCUACGGAGGCAGCAGUGGGGAAUUUUGGGCAAUGGCCGAAAGGCUGACCCAGC